rnacentral:rRNA from 1 species
GAUGAACGCUGACAGAAUGCUUAACACAUGCAAAUCUAUGUCAAUAUAUUUAGUGCUUGCAUACCUAACGAACAUGGUGGACUGGUGAAUAACCUGUGAAGAACUUGCCUCCUAUACUGGGAUAUACACUGUGGAAACACUUGAUUAUACUAGAUAUUAUGAUACUAUCGCAUCUUGUUAACAUGAAAGGAUAAGAUUGCUCACAGAGAGCUUUACCUCCUAUUAACUAGCUGGUGGGGGAAAGGCCUACCCACGCGAUGGAAGAUACCCAGCCCAACAGAGAGAACGAUCACCCAGGGACUGACAUACACCCCUUACUCAUACCGAAGGCAGCCAUGAGGAAUAUUGCACCAUGGAUGAAACUCUGAUCCACCAAUUCUGUGCGCACGAAUAAAGAUUUCUGACUGUACAGUACUUUCUGUAGGGAAAAAAAAAGUGACGGUACCUACGAAAGAUCCCACUGCUACAUACAUGCCACCAACCGCGAUAAUACAUUUGUCGCAAGCGUUAUCCGGAAUUAUUGGGCUUAAAGGGCAUCUAGGCAGUUUUUCAAGUCAAGCGAGAAAACUUAUGGCUCAACUAUCAACUUGCCUUUGAGACUGAUAGACUAUAGUACUGUAAAGGUGUGUGGAACUACACGAGUAAAGGUGAGAUUCGUAUAUCUGUGGUAAGAAUGCCGAUGAUGAAAAUUACUCACUGGACAGAAACUGACGCUGAAGCGCGAAAGCGAGGGGAGCAAACAGGAUUAGAUACCCUGGUAGUCCCAGCAGUAGACGAUGAUCAGUGGGUGUGUGGAUGAAUAGUCUCAGUGCCGAAGCAAAAGCGAUAAGCGAUCCGCCUGGGGAGUACGUACGCAAGUAUGAAACUCAAAGGAAUUGACGGGGGCCCGCACAAGUGGUGGAGCAUGUGGUUUAAUUCGACGCAACGCGAGGAACCUUACCAGGUCUUGACAUACUCGGAAUCUUUUGGAAGCAAAGAGAGUUCCUUCGGGAACCGAGAUACAGGUGGUGCAUGGCUGUCGUCAGCUCGUGUCGUGAGAUGUUGGGUUAAGUCCCGCAACGAGCGCAACCCCUAUCAUUAGUUGCCAUCAUUAAGUUGGGCACUCUAAUGAAACUGCCUGUGAAGAGCAGGAGGAAGGUGGGGAUGACGUCAAGUCAUCAUGCCCCUUAUGAUCUGGGCUACACACGUGCUACAAUGGGUAGUACAAAGAGGAGCGAAAUAGCGAUAUCGAGCAAAUCUCAAAAAGCUCCUUUCAGUUUGGAUUGAAGUGUGCAACUCGACUUCCAGAAGUUGGAAUCAGUAGUAAUCGCAAAUCAGCAAUGCCGCGGUGAAUACGUUCUCGGGUCU